CACAGGUGCUGCAUGGCUGUCGUCAGCUCGUGUCGUGAGAUGUUGGGUUAAGUCCCGCAACGAGCGCAACCCUUGUCUCUAGUUGCUACGAAAGGGCACUCUAGAGAGACUGCCGGUGACAAACCGGAGGAAGGUGGGGAUGACGUCAAGUCCUCAUGGCCCUUAUGGGUAGGGCUUCACACGUCAUACAAUGGUGCAUACACAGGGUUGCCAAGCCGCGAGGUGGAGCUAAUCCCAGAAAAUGCAUCGUACUCCGGAUCGUAGUCUGCAACUCCACUACGUGAAGCUGGAAUCGCUAGUAAUCGCGSAUCAGCAUGCCGCGGUGAAUACAUUCCCCGGUCUUGUACACACCG
rnacentral:rRNA from 1 species